rnacentral:lncRNA from 1 species
AAUGAUUCAGCCUCAACCCACUUGAAGAAGUAGUCGAUUGCCACUAUUAUGUAUCUAUGACCAUUCAAACGAGGUUUUAUCUCUCUGAUGAUGUCGAUUCCCCAAGCUGCAAAAGGCCAUGGGAAUGUCAAAUUGUGUGACUCAGUUGAAGGUAUGUGACUCAAAUUACUGUAAAGCCGGCACUCAUGACAUUUCCUUAUUAGAGCUUGACAAUUCUUUUCCAUUAUUAACCAGUAAUAUCCUUGACGCAUAACUUUUUUGGUUAGCAUAAUGCCA